rnacentral:rRNA from 1 species
AGUGCACUCUGGCCGCAGGCCUCACACAUGAAAGGCGCGCGGGGUUUGGGGACCGCGGGGCGCAGGGGUGAAAAAUGCGUGGGAAUGUCCGCGAGAGGGGGGGAUCAGAGUGGGACGCGACUGAUUAUCGCGCAUAAUCUCGACGGCAAAAAGUGGGGGACCUGUGCGCCACAUUCUAGCGGAUGCGCCAACGUGGGAUUAGCUAGUUGGUGAGGCAAUGGCUCACCAAGGCGACGAUCUCUAGCUGGUUUGAGAGGAUGAUCAGCCACACUGGAACUGAGACACGGUCCAGACUCCUACGGGAGGCAGCAGUGGGGAAUAUUGGACAAUGGGCGCAAGCCUGAUCCAGCCAUGCCGCGUGUGUGGAGAAGGCCUUCGGGUUGUAAAGCACUUUCAGCGAGGAGGAAGGGUGGUGUGUUAAUAGCACAUCAUUUUGACGUUACUCGCAGAAGAAGCACCGGCUAACUCUGUGCCAGCCGCCGCAGUAACAC